UGUCACUUGUUGUACCUAAAAUCCUUGCACCUUUCAGUUUUCUGGAAGCUGAGAACCUCUGCUUUGGGCAACAGAGACACUGAGGACCAUAGACUGUAGAUGCCAUCUUACACAUUAGUUCUGUCAAAAUUAGCCAAAAAGAUGCUUCUCCAUUUGUUUCACCAAAGGAAAUGUUAGACUUUCUAGAGUGUAACUAACCCAGCAGGCUACAUACCAAAUACAAGUGAAUUUUUAACUCACAAAGUUUUCCUCCAGAUUCAGAGUUGGCCAUGCCAGUGUCCCUUUUCAUAGUGAAAAUCUGAAUAUUUAGAGUUUCACUGUGAGAUGAAAAACCUGGAUUUCAUUCAAGGACUUACCUCCUACCUCUUCAUUUUUUAUACACUUUAUGCAGGGACAUGAACUGUCAUUGGAACUGCACUUGAAAUUUAAGUGAUUCAUCUGUUUUCUCUGCCAUUUGAAAGAAGGGCUUUUUAAGCACCUGCUUUUCAAACUGUGAGCACCAAGCAGGACACUUAAGCUCAGAAGAAGUCAAAGGUUUAACCCACCUUUUCCAAGUGACUUAAGCAGGUUCUAUAUGACCUGAUUUUACAGAGCCCCCCAGCCAGACCACUGGAUCCAGAAGGCCCACUGAGGAAAGCUGAGGAAGGAGCUUGAGAGGUACCACACCCUGAGUUCCUACUGUAUGUCUUUGUGGGGAGAAGAUGUCUGAUGAAACACUCCAGUGGAAUGGGAUUCAAUCGUACCUGGUGUAAAACCAGCCUAAUUGAAAGGAUUGGAGUGAUGAAUCACCAUCUGGAGGUAGCUGCACAAAUUAUAUUCCCAAAGAAACGAUGAGCUUCCAGGAGAGGUGUUUCAGCUCCCCACCCCUAAAGCUUAUAAUGAAGAUGUGAUGCUGACACCC